GACGAACGCUGGCGGCGUGCUUAACACAUGCAAGUCGAGCGGUAAGGCCCUUUCGGGGUACGACGAGCGGCGAACGGGUAGGAGUAACAACGUGGGUGGACCUCGCCCUUACGUCUCUGGGAGUAAAGACCUCGGGAAACGUAGGGUCGUAAUACCGGAUAUGACUCCAUAACGCAUGUUGUGGGGUGGAAAGACCUUGUGCGGCUAGGGAGUGGCCCGGCGGCCUAUCAGCUUGUUGGUGGGGUGAUGGCC
rnacentral:rRNA from 1 species